rnacentral:snRNA from 1 species
CCUCCCGCUCUUGACGGUGG